rnacentral:rRNA from 1 species
GUGUCAGCAGCCGCGGUAAUACAGAGGUGGCGAGCGUUAUUCGGAAUUAUUGGGCGUAAAGGGCGCGUAGGCGGCCACGCAAGUCUUGGGUGAAAUCCCUCGGCUCAACCGAGGAACUGCCUUGGAAACUGCAUGGCUCGAGGCCGGGAGAGGGUAGCGGAAUUCCCAGUGUAGCGGUGAAAUGCGUAGAUAUUGGGAGGAACACCGGUGGCGAAGGCGGCUACCUGGACCGGUUCUGACGCUGAUGCGCGAAAGCGUGGGGAGCAAACAGGAUUAGAAACCCUGGUAGUCC